GUUUGUUGGCUGUGCUGAGAGGAGUUGCCCAUGAAAAGCACCAAGAAGGGGGAGAACUCCUCACUCUCUUCUCUUGAUAGACCCUUCUCAUGGAGGACUGUCUUCCAUGGACUUCUCCAGUGCAAGUCUUUCCCACGGCUUGCAGCUCCUCACAAACUGCUUCAGCAUGGGCCCCUUCCUGGCUGCUGCCCUUCAGGAAUGAGCUGCCCCAGCCUGGUGUUGUGACUCACGUCUGAGGCAUGGCAACUGGGUUCAUUGCUACAGGACCCCGCCGGUGGAUUAAAGCAAAAUGAUGCUAAAAACCCAACAUAACAAUGAGCAUAAUUCGAAAAAAUGCUGCUCAGCGCUAUUCAAUGGAUUCUAAAAAUAAUUCAACAGAGACCUUUUAGAGGAAGAAAGGUUACUGUUUUUGUGAUAUAAAUGAGAUAACUACUCUAGAUUAUCUUCUUUUACUAUCAAAACAAGAGUAAAUGAAAAUUAUUAGUUUUAAUCAUGAAAAGAACAGUCAUUGUGGGAUGUACAGGAAAAGACUUGGAUCAUCUUCAUAGUUAACCAGCUAGUGUGAUUUGUUCAUGUGUUGUCAUUGCAAAAAAAUCUGACAUUAUGUAUGGACUUAGUGAUGCAAAAUCUUGAAGUCAGAGCUGCCUGUAACCUUUGAGUGCCAGAUAACAUGAGGUCAAAGUUAGCAACCACAAAUAGCAAUAUAGCAUACAAUUUUAACAAAAAUUGACUUCAAUAAAUGAAACAUUUUAUCAAAUGGUGUAGUAAAGCCCACCACCCCUUCCAUUUUUGAAACUAUUAAAUUGUGAAAUUGUG